UCUGUCGGGCUGUCCGAAAUGUGACACUUUCACUGAAACGGCUACUAUGCACGUUUGUAGUGUUCCCAAGUCACAGACCAACCAGACUUCUCAAAGAAGAGUUCCACAGAAUUGCAGGGUUUCCAGGUGUGAUUGGCUGCAUAGAUGGCACUCACAUUCCUAUCAUAGCUCCUUCAAUAAAUGAAGGAGAUUAUGUGAAUAGGAAAUCUGUCCACAGCAUUAAUGUACAGAUCAUAUGUGACGCAGCCCACAUGAUAAAUAAUGUGGAAGCGAAGUGGCCUGGGUCUGUGUACGACUCAUGAAUGUUUCGUGAGUCUACACUGAGUGCCAGAUUUGCCCGUGGAGAGUUUGAUGGUUAUCUACUUGGAGACAGAGGGUACCCCUGCCAGCGCUAUCUGCUGACCCCUUACCCUGACCCUGACCCUUGCCCACAGCAACACUACAACUUGGCUCACUGCAGGACACGAGCCAGAGUGGAGAUGACCAUCGGCAUACUCAAGGCCCGGUUCCAGUGCCUUCGUUGGCUCAGGGUCACCCCGGAAAGGGCUUGUGACAUUAUAGUGGCAUGUGUGGUUCUCCACAACAUUGCCACUAUUAGAGGAGAACAAUGUCCUACUCUUUCCCCCAAUGAUCCAGAUAAUAAUCCUGACCCCCCUGCUGAUGCACGAGAUGGAAGAGCUGUUAGAGACAUGAUAUGCUUCAAUCAUUUCUAACUGACUCUGCCUUUUUUCUGUUGGCUAUAAUGGAGGUCAAAUUUUAAGAUAACCAGAAAACACAAAUUUGGAGACUUGUAUGUAUAAAAUG